UGGUUAAAUAAAGGUCAACUAGCCUACCUGGUUAAAUAAAGGUCAACUAGCCUACCUGGUUAAAUAAAGGUCAACUAGCCUACCUGGUUAAAUAAAGGUCAACUAGCCUACCUGGCUAAAUAAAGGUCAACUAGUCUACCUGGUUAAAUUAAGGUCAACUAGCCUACCUGGUUAAAUAAAGGUCAACUAGUCUACCUGGUUAAAUAAAGGUC